rnacentral:rRNA from 1 species
UAGAGUGAUCCUGGCUCAGGACGAACGCUGGCGGCGUGCUUAACACAUGCAAGUCGACGAUGAACCUGGAGCUUGUCUGGGGGAUUAGUGGCGAACGGGUGAGUAACACGUGAGUAACCUGCCCUUGACUCUGGGAUAACCUCCGGAAACGGAAGCUAAUACCGGAUAUGACGUGCGGAGGCAUCUCCUGUACGUGGAAAGAAUUUCGGUCAAGGAUGGACUCGCGGCCUAUCAGGUAGUUGGUGAGGUAAUGGCUCACCAAGCCUACGACGGGUAGCCGGCCUGAGAGGGUGACCGGCCACACUGGGACUGAGACACGGCCCAGACUCCUACGGGAGGCAGCAGUGGGGAAUAUUGCACAAUGGGCGCAAGCCUGAUGCAGCAACGCCGCGUGAGGGAUGACGGCCUUCGGGUUGUAAACCUCUUUUAGUAGGGAAGAAGCGAAAGUGACGGUACCUGCAGAAAAAGCACCGGCUAACUACGUGCCAGCAGCCGCGGUAAUACGUAGGGUGCGAGCGUUGUCCGGAAUUAUUGGGCGUAAAGAGCUCGUAGGCGGUCUGUCGCGUCUGCUGUGAAAACCCGAGGCUCAACCUCGGGCCUGCAGUGGGUACGGGCAGACUAGAGUGCGGUAGGGGAGAAUGGAAUUCCUGGUGUAGCGGUGGAAUGCGCAGAUAUCAGGAGGAACACCGAGGCGAAGG